GAAGCCGGGUCAGCGGGCUCCAGGGAGGGCUGACCAGACAGCCCCAGCAACUGCCAUUUCUGGGGUACGUGCUGGGCCUGUGCAGGAGGCAGGAGCAGAGGGUGAAGAGGAUUUGCAGGGCUGCUGCUGGGGGGCUGGGUGGGGGCCGUGGCCCAGGAGAGCCCCGAGGGUAAAGCCAAAGUGCUCAGCCCAUGAGCCCCCCUUACCAACCUACCCCCAGCUUUUGCUGAAAAGCCACAUGGGAAUGGGGAGAGGAGGGUCCAGCACAGUUCAGGAGGUUCAUGGUGCUUGGAUUCCAGGAAUCUGCUGAGCCGAGUCUGAAGGUGAAUUGUGUUGACCUGAGCAGCCCGUGCUCGGUCCUCCCAUCCCCCUGGACCCAGGGAAGAGCUCAGCCCCUGCCCUGGAAGUGGCCCUGGACGGGAGGGCCGGCUGGCUGGAGGGGAGCCCGAUCCAAGGAGGCAGUGGCUGAAAGUGGGUGUUACACCCUUCCUUAAUGAAUAACAGGGACCCUGAGCGAUGGCCACACUCCGCGUUUCCCUGGGAGUGCAGCCAUGAGUUAGGAGCCGACAGACAGCAGGGAACCGCGACCUCGACCAGGAGAAGAAACAGGCGAUAGAAAUAGACCCACACGUGACCAGACCGAGAUCAUCCUACAGGGACCUUAAAAUGACUCCUACAAACACACUGAACUCUUUACUGUACCCCCCAAAUGACACUGUGGAUAACAGUUGGAGGAAUUUCAUGAAAAAAAUCAAACCUCUAAAUCUCUUCUCUGCGGAAGAGUGUGGCACAGGGAAGCAGCUCACAUGGUGAUCAGGAAGCAGAGACAGA
rnacentral:lncRNA from 1 species